rnacentral:rRNA from 1 species
GAUCAUGGCUCAGAUUGAACGCUGGCGGCAGGCUUAACACAUGCAAGUCGAGCGGGGAAAGGUAGCUUGCUACCUGACCUAGCGGCGGACGGGUGAGUAAUGCUUAGGAAUCUGCCUAUUAGUGGGGGACAACAUUCCGAAAGGAAUGCUAAUACCGCAUACGCCCUACGGGGGAAAGGCAGGGGAUCUUCGGACCUUGCGCUAAUAGAUGAGCCUAAGUCAGAUUAGCUAGUUGGUGGGGUAAAGG